rnacentral:misc_RNA from 1 species
GAUGAAGAACGCAGCGAAAUGCGAUAAGUAAUGUGAAUUGCAGAAUUCAGUGAACCAUCGAAUCUUUGAACGCACAUUGCGCCCGGCAGUAAUCUGCCGGGCAUGCCUGUCCGAGCGUCAUUUCUGCCCUCGAGCGAGUCCAGCAUCUAGGUGCUGGGCCCGCCCGGCGUUGGGGCACUACGGGAAGCCCUGUGCUGUCCCCCGUAGGCCCCGAAAUGAAGUGCGGUCCUGCCGCGGCGCCCCCUGCGUAGUAUAACAGCUCGCUUCGGGACCCGGUGGAGGCCUGCCGUCAAACCUUACUCUCUAAGUUUGACCUCGGAUCAGGUAGGGUUACCCGCUGAACUUAAGCAUAUCAAUAAGCGGAGGA